CCUUCUUGAUCCUGGAGUGUUGCCUGUGUUCCUCUGCUUCUGUGAGUCAGUCUGUGUCAGUCAGUAUUUGUCAGUCUAUGAGUCAGUCAGUGUCUGUCAGUCUGUCUGUCUGUAUCAGUUAGUCACACAGUGUCUGUCAGUCAGUAUGUCUGUGAGUCAGUGUCUGUAUCAGUAAGUCAAUCAGUGUCUGUCUCUGUCAGUCAUUGUCUAUGUCUGCCAGUCUGUGAGUCAGUCUGUGUUAGUCAGUGUCUGCCUGUCUGUAUCAGUCAGUCAGUGUUGGUCAGUCUAUGAGUCAGUCAGUGUCUGCCUGUCUGUAUCAGUCAGUUAGUGUCAGUCAGUGUCUACCUGUAUGUAUCAGUGUCUGUCAGUCAGUCACAGUAAGUCAAUCUGUGAGUCAGUCAGUCUCAGUCAGUCUGUGUCAGUCAGUCAGUGUGUCAGUCUCAGUCAGUCAGUCUGUGUGUCAGUCAGUCUCAGUCAGUGAGUGUGUCAGUCAGUCUCAGUCAGUGAAUCAGUCUGUGUCAGUCUCAGUCAGUCUGUGUCAGUCUCAGUCAGUGUGUCAGUCUCAGUCAGUCUGUGUCAGUCUGUCUCAGUGUGUCAGUCAGUGAGUAUAUCAGUCAGUGUGUGUCAGUCUCAGUCAGUCAGUAUAUCAGUCAGUCAGUGUGUGUCAGUCUCAGUCAGUCAGUCAGUAUAUCAGUCAGUCUCAGUCAGUGUGUCAGUCUCAGUCAGUCUCAGUCAGUAUAUCAGUCAGUCAGUAUAUCAGUCAGUGUGUCAGUCAGUCUGUGUGUCAGUCAGUGUGUCAGUCAGUCAGUGUGUCAGUCAGUGUGUCAGUCAGUCUGUGUCGGUCAGUCUGUGUGUGUGAGUCAGUCUGUGUGUGUGAGUCAGUGUGUCAGUCAGUGAGUCAGUCAGUCUGUGAAUCAGUCUCAGUCAGUGUGUCUGUGUGUCAGUUACUUUCAGUCAGACUGUGUGUCAGUCAGUGUCUCAGUCAGUCUCAGUGUGUCAGUCCCAGUCAGUCUGUGUGUCAGUCAGUAUCAGUCCGUGUCAGUCAGUCUGUGUGUCAGUCAGUUUCAGUCUGUGAGUCACUCUGAGUCAGUGUGUCAGUCUCAGUCAGUAUGUGAGUCAGUCUCAGUCAGUGUCAGUCUGCGAGUCAGUCUGUGUCAGUCUGUGUGUCAGUCAGUUUCAGUCUGUGAGUCACUCUGUGUCAGUGUGUCAGUCUCAGUCAGUAUGUGAGUCAGUCUCAGUCAGUGUCAGUCUGUGAGUCAGUCUGUGUGUCAGUCAGUCUCAGUCAGUCUGAGUUAUUCUGUGUAUCAGUCAGUGUGUCAGCCAGUCUCAGUCAGUCUGUGUCAGUCUCAGUCAGUCUGUGAGUGAGUCAGUCUGUGAGUCACUGUGUCAGUCUCAGUCAGUCUGUGAGUCACUGUGUCAGUCUCAGUCAGUCUGUGUGUCAGUCAGUUUCAGUCUGUGAGUCACUCUGUGUCAGUCUCAGUCAGUAUGUGAGUCAGUCUCAGUCAGUGUCAGUCUGUGAGUCAGUCUGUGAGUUAUUCUGUGUGUCAGUCUGUGUGUCAGUCUCAGUCAGUCUGUGAGUCAGUCAGUCUCAGUCAGUGAGUCAGUGUGUCAGUCAGUCUCAGUUAGUCUGUGUGUCAGUCAGUCUCAGUCAGUUAGUCAGUGAGUCAGUCAGUCUCAGUCAGUGAGUCAGUCAGUCUCAGUCAGUCAGUAUAUCAGUCUGUCAGUGUCAGUCAGUAUGUCAGUCUGUCAGUGUCAGUCAGUAUGUCAGUCAGUAUAUCAGUCAGUGUGUCAGUCAGUAUAUCAGUCAGUGUGUCAGUCAGUCAGUAUAUCAGUCAGUCAGUAUAUCAGUCAGUGUGUCAGUCAGUAUAUCAGUCAGUGUGUCAGUCAGUGUGUCAGUCAGUCAGUAUAUCAGUCAGUCAGUCAAUCAGUCAGUGUGUCAGUCAGUAUAUCAGUCAGUGUGUCAGUCAGUAUAUCAGUCAGUCAGUAUGUCAGUCUGUCUAUCAGUCAGUCAGUGUGUCAGUCAGUCAGUCUGUCUAUCAGUCAGUGUGUCAGUCAGUCAGUAUAUCAGUCAGUGUGUCAGUCAGUCAGUGAGUCAGUCAGUCUAUCAGUCAGUCAGUCUAUCAGUCAGUCAGUGUGUCAGUCAGUCAGUAUAUCAGUCAGUGUGUCAGUCCGGGCCCAUCAGUCAUCAGUGUGUCAGUCAGUCAGUAUAUCAGCCGCGUGUCGUCAUCAGUCCAUCAGUCAGUGUCAGCCUCGUCUAUCAGUCAGUGUGUCAAGCUCGCCCAUCGCCGUCAGUAUCAGUCAGUGUGUCAGUCAGUCCAUCAGUCAACAGUGUGUCAGUCAGUCAGUCUAUCAGUCAGUCUAUCAGUCAGCCGUCAGUCAGUCAGUCUAUCAGUCAGUCAGGCACAGCCGCGUCAGUCAGUCAGCCCAUCAAUGCGUGUCAGCCGGGGCCAGUCUAUCAGUCAGUCAGUCAGUCAGUCAGUGUGUCAGCCGUCUAUCAGUCAGUCUAUCAGUCAGUCAGUCAGUCAGUCAGUCUAUCAGUCAGUCAGUCUAUCAGUCAGUGUGUCAGUCAGUCAGUCUAUCAGUCAGUCAGUCAGUCAGUGUGUCAGUCAGUCUAGUCAGUCUAUCAGUCAGUCAGUCAGUCAGUAUAUCAGUCAGUCUAUCAGUCAGUCAGUCUAUCAGUCAGUCAGUCAGUAUAUCAGUCAGUGUGUCAGUCAGUCAGUCAGUCUAUCAGUCAGUGUGUCAGUCUAUCAGUCAGUCAGUGUGUAAGUCAGUCAGUGUGUCAGUCAGUCAGUAUAUCAGUCAGUCAGUAUAUCAGUCAGUCAGUGUGUCAGUCAGUCAGUAUAUCAGUCAGUCUAUCAGUCAGUCAGUGUGUCAGUCAGUCAGUGUGUCAGUCAGUCUAUCAGUCAGUCAGUGUGUCAAUCAGUCAGUAUAUCAGUCAGUGUGUCAGUCAGUGUGUCAGUCAGUCAGUAUAUCAGUCAGUCAGUGUGUCAGUCAGUCAGUGUGUCAGUCAGUCAGUCAGUGUGUCAGUCAGUCAGUCAGUCUAUCAGUCAGUGUGUCAGUCAGUCAGUCAGUCAGUCUAUCAGUCAGUGUGUCAG
rnacentral:lncRNA from 1 species